rnacentral:rRNA from 1 species
AUGCCUUUAAGUCGUGCUUCAACAGGUGGGAGAUAUAGCCGCAUCGAGGGCGUUACAGAAGCAAAUGAAGCGUUGUUGAGGGACAUAAUCGCAGAAGGAAGUGAUGCCGUCUCGUUGUUUCUCAACGACACCGAUGGUCUGGAAGGAGAGGGUGAAGAAGCUGGCUACGGUGACCUAAUGCCGGUGCAAGAAGAAGAACAUGAGGACGGCUCCGGUGACCCAAUGCCGGUGCAAGAAGGAGACCGUGAUGAUGGCUUCGGUGACCGAACCGAGUCCGGCCAGCCCUCCGGAUCGAGCACAACUUCGGUAAAGAGACGAGGCCCGAAGAAAAAGUUGAGCUCGGAUGAAAAGUUUGAGAUCAUAGCAAUCGCGCCCGACGGCCAACCGAUUGAACCCCUCCAGACAAAGAGCGCAUUUGUUGCUCAGUGCGGGGUUCUGGUUAGGGACAAGAUCCCGAUAAUCAUCCAGCAAUGGUUUAAGCCGGCUAUAGAAGACCCUGAGGUGUCUUAUGUCAAUGAUAUGCAGAAAAAUGAUCUUUGGACUGAGCUGAAGUCAAAUUUCACCCUACCGCCAGAGGAUAAUCCAGAGAACCCAGUUAAAGAGCAAUUAAUCAAGUCUUUUGCUCUUAAGAGGAUGGCAGAACUAUUCAGGAGGUGGAAGAAAGAGCUGAAUAAGUUUGUCGAAAAUAAUGAGACACCAGAAUUCAAGGGCAGAUAUGAGAAGAUCAGAGAUCACUGGCCCGCAUUUGUGGCCCAACAUCGAAAAAGAGUAAGAAGAUGUCAGCGACAAACAAGCAAAAUGCUGCGAAGAAGAUGCUUCACCAUCGCACGGGGUCAGGUGGCUACCUCAUAG